AGUUUGUGCUGUUGUAUGAAUAACAGAAGAAUGCAGGAAUAGUUCACAACUUAUGACUGUUUAUUUCUAGUGAUGAUCACAUCUGAAGAGAGCAUGGCUUAUGAAUGCACCAAUGAAUUUCUUUCCUAAAAAUGAAAUCUAGAAGUGGAAAGAAACAGAUAUUAAUACCCACAUGAAGCCUGUACCUUCCACAUCUUAUUUGAGGAAUGAGGACUCAAUUCUAAUGUAAAAGUUUAAUGUCUUGGGUUUCAUUUAUUGAAAUUUGAAGUAUG
rnacentral:misc_RNA from 1 species